AAAAUCUAUUUUGCUGACUAUCUCUUUUCACAGAAAAUGAACAAGUACUCAAGGGGUAAAGGGACGUCAUAUUGGUCAAUUAGAAGACGUGUUCAACAAAGCAACAUCAAGUUCUACAGUUUCACUAUUUGACAAAAGCCCCACUAGCUCAGGUACUUAUAUGAUAUCAUUCUUUGCUGAUUCCAUUUUUUAAAAUAAAUGAUAUCAAAACCAUACAUACAUUUUGGACUAAUUGCAUGUCUGUCUUAAUAUACAGUAACAGAAAAGAAAAUCCUAAACUGUUUGGAGAAACUUAUGGCAAACGUGGAGGAAAUAAAAGUACAGACCCACCUAAAUACACAGCUUCUGCAGGCCACAAUCACAAAGAUCGAUAGACUUGAAAGCCGUCCUGCUCCUGGUACAGAGGAGCCCGACACUACACUGCAGUUAGAUGUAUGUUUUCCACUGGGAAAACAAGAAGAUAUACAGAAGCUGGAGGACCUCUUGCAGAGUAAAAACACGUGUAAAACUUUGGUGAGAUCAUUAUCAACUAUUGGUGGUGAAAACACGAAAAGUUCAGUAAGGAGACUACUUUCCCACAUGAUCACCACAAAACUAGCAGUAAACACCAACUGGAUGGGAAAAGGGGGGAAAUUGCCUUCUCUUCACUGAAAUUACAGAAAAUAUUGAAAGAAACAGUGAGGAAGAAUCGCCUCUGUGCUAAUGCAACAGAUCUAGACGUGGAAAUUUUCAACGAGGCAAAAGACUGGUUUUGCUUUGCUAGUGAUAGAGAUGGGGGACGAAGGAGAAGGGCAGAGGAAAAGAAACUUCAAAUUCAAAUUCAAGCGGAACAGAAUGAGAGUGAGCUUGAGGAUGAGACCAAUAAAUAAAUAGAUUCUUUGUAACACGCGUAUUACCGCUCUCAAUACUUACAUGUAAUAGAAUAUGAACAAUUUCCUUGUUAAUUUUGUAAUUGUAUCGGAUACCUUCUUUUUCAUUUGUGUAACUGAAUUUUUUAACUCUUUUAAAGUAAUACACUAAACAUUAAUAAAAUAUUAGGCAAAUGAAGAUCCCUUUCAAUUUGAAUAGUUAUUAACUUUGUUGUUGCAGAGUUCUGAGACUUCAUUUUUAUAUUUAAUAUUUUAUGUCAUGCCGUAUAGAGUUAUGGAACUUUUUAACUUUUUAAUAUGUACUUUUUAUGUCAUUCCUGCCUCUGAAAUAUAUAUUACAGGUCCUUUUCUGACUUGUCAGUUUUCUAGUUAUUAUGUACAUAUAUCAUGAUACUUGUAGAUGAAUAUAUAUUGCAUAUGUCAUUAAGAUUUGUUCAUUUUGCUUUUCAAAGGAAUAAGCUAAGAAAACAUUACUUUUUCGGGAAUAGUUUGUCUUCAUUGAAUCGACAUGCUUCUCCCCAUUAACUUUCACUGCUUUGUUAGAGAAAAAGUGUUUUAAAAGAGGAAAGAAGCAAUGUUUAGGGCAGCCUACUGGGAAAAUUCCAGGUUACAUACCCAUCAAUGUGUGAAGUAGUUUUAUAUUAUGCCAAGACAAUCUUACAUCAUCACAGUGAAAUGCUAGCUUUGUAUCAAAAUAUAUAUUUUUAUAUAUUUCCUUUCAUGAGUUUUAUAUGAUUUUUGUGUGAUAGCAUAUUGUGUGUGUGUGUGUGUGUGUGUGUGUGUGUAUCUAGUCAUAUUUACCUUCAAUUUGUUUAGUAAUGUAGUUUAUACUCAUGUGAGCGGUUGUUGGACUCGACAUUGUGAUAGGCUUUAAUAGUAUGAUUGCAUUGUAUUGGAUGGUAUUUGUCUUAAAUGUCUGGGACAUAUUUCUGAAUGUAAUCCUUUUUGGUAUUCCUGUAUUAUUUUGAUAUUUUUAAUAGCAAUAUUUUUUCACAUUGUAUCGUAAUAUUGUUCAUUACAUAUAUUUUUUCUUAUAAUAUAUGAAUUUACAUCCCAGGCAAGAUGUUAUGUGAAAUAAAAAAAUGCAAUAAAAAUAUUAAUUAUU